rnacentral:tRNA from 1 species
GCCGCCUUAGCUCAGUUGGUUAGAGCGCUUGAUUGUGGAUCAAGAGGUCCUCCGUUCGAAUCGGAGAGGUGGUACCA